rnacentral:lncRNA from 1 species
AAUGCUGGCUGAAUAGAAAAUUCAGUUUAGGGUUUAAAACCCUAAUGCUGACUAAAGGAAAAAGUUCAGUUUAGGGCUUAAAACCCUAAUUCUGACUAAAGGAAAAAUUCAGUUUAGGGUUUAAAACCCUAAUGCUGACUGCAUGGAAAAGCUCAGUUUAGGGUUUAAAACCCUAAUGCUGGCUAAAUGGAAAAAGUUCAGUUUAGGGUUUAAAACCCUAAUGCUGACUAAAGGAAAAAUUCAGUUUAGGGUUUUAAAACCCUAAUGCUGAUUGCAUGAAAAAGCUCAGUUUAGGGUUUAAAACCCUAAUGCUGGCUGAAUGGAAAAUUCAGUUUAGGGUUUAAAACCCUAAUGCUGACUAAAGGAAAAAGUUCAGUUUAGGGUUUAAAACUCUAAUGCUGAUUGCAUGGAAAAGCUCAGUUUAGGGUUUAAAACCCUAAUGCUGGCUGAAUGGAAAAUUCAGUUUAGGGUUUAAAACCCUAAUGCUGACUGAAUGGAAAAAAAUCAGUUUAGGAUUUAAAACCCUAAUGCUGAUUGCAUGGAAAAGCUCAGUUUAGGGUUUAAAACCCUAAUGUUGACUAAAGGAAAAAUUCAGUUUAGGGUUUAAAACCCUAAUGUUGACUGCAUGGAAAAGCUCAGUUUAGGGUUUAAAACCCUAAUGCUGGCUGAAUGGAAAAAGUUCAGCUUAGGGUUUAAAACCCUAAUGCUGAUUAAAGGAAAAAGAUCAGUUUAGGGUUUAAAACCCUAAUGCUGACUGCAUGGAAAAGCUCAGUUUAGGGUUUAAAACCCUAAUGCUGGCUGAAUGGAAAAAGUUCAGCUUAGGGUUU